CCUACGGGAGGCAGCAGUGGGGAAUAUUGGGCAAUGGGCGCAAGCCUGACCCAGCAACGCCGCGUGAAGGAAGAAGGCUUUCGGGUUGUAAACUUCUUUUGUCAGGGAAGAGUAGAAGACGGUACCUGACGAAUAAGCCACGGCUAACUACGUGACAGCAGCCGCGGUAAUCCGUAGGUGACAAGCGUUGUCCGGAUUUACUGGGUGUAAAGGGCGUGUAGCCGGGUUGACAAGUAAGAUGUGAAAUCCUGCGGCUUAACCGCAGAACUGCAUUUGACACUGUUUAUCUUGAGUACUGGAGAGGCAGGUGGAAUUCCUUGUGUAGCGGUGAAAUGCGUAGAUAUUAGGAGGAACACUAGUGGCGAAGGCGGUCUGCUGGACAGCAACUGACGGUGAGGCGCGAAAGCGUGGGGAGCAAACAGGAUUAGAUACCCGGGUAGUC
rnacentral:rRNA from 1 species